rnacentral:lncRNA from 1 species
ACUAUUAAGGCAAGGAACACAUGCAUACUAUGAUUGAUCAGGGACCUAUUAUUAGAUCCCCACACGUGUACUUAAUGAUAAUAGGAAGGCCUCAAGAGUUCAUAUUUGUUAACUGCAUUUUUGUUAGCCUUAUCCGUAAAAGAAGUAUGAGUAUCCUUGUUCGUACCAUAAGGUUCAGGAUUUGGUUUUCACAUAAAGAUAGAGGUUGAAUAUCCCGACUAGAUUACUUAGGUGCCUUAUGAUCCGAC